UAUUCAUGGUGUUGGCAUUGUAAUAAAAGUGAGCGGUCCCAUACUUUAUGAAAGGACUCAGUACCCUUUUGAUAAAAGUUAGAAAUUUCAGCACUAAUUCG
rnacentral:snoRNA from 1 species